UCAGGCCUAACACAUGCAAGUCGAGCGGAUGAAGGGAGCUUGCUCCCUGAUUUAGCGGCGGACGGGUGAGUAAUGCCUAGGAAUCUGCCUGGUAGUGGGGGAUAACGUUCCGAAAGGAACGCUAAUACCGCGUACGUCCUACGGGAGAAAGCAGGGGACCUUCUUUGUCUUGCGCUAUCAGAUGAGCCUAGGUCGGAUUAGCUAGUUGGUGAGGUAAUGGCUCACCAAGGCGACGAUCAGUAACUGGUCUGAGAGGAUGAUCAGUCACACUGGAACUGAGACACGGUCCAGACUCCUACGGGAGGCAGCAGUGAGGAAUAUUGGUCAAUGGGAG
rnacentral:rRNA from 1 species